rnacentral:lncRNA from 13 species
AUGUCUACAUUAAAUAACACCAUGCCUACAUUAAAGAACACCAUGUCUACAGUAAAGAACACCAUGCCUACAUUAAAGAACACCAUGUCUACAUUAAAGAACACCAUGUCUACAUUAAAGAACACCAUGUUUACAGUAAAGAACACCAUGCCUACAUUAAAGAACACCAUGUCUACAGUAAAGAACACCAUGCCUACAGUAAAGAACACCAUGUCUACAGUAAAACACCAUGUCUACAGUAAAGAACACCAUGCCUACAGUAAAGAACACCAUGUCUACAGUAAAGAACACCAUGCCUACAGUAAAACACGGUGGUGGCAGCAUCCCAUUGUGGAGGUGUUUCUCUUCAGCAGGGUCAGGAUAGAAGGGAAAAUGGACAGUGCAAAAUACCGAUAGAUUCUUGAGGAGAACCGACUGCCCUCUGCCAGGAAGUUGAAAAUGGGAAGAUGGUUCACUUUUCAACAUGACAAUGACCCAAAGCACACUGCCAAAGCAACAGUACAGUGGCUGAAGGACAAGAAGGUGAAUGUCCUCGAGUGCCUAGUCAGAGCCCCGACCUAAAUCCCAUUGAGAAUCUGUGGAAUGACUUGAAGAGUGCAGUCCAUAAACGGUCACCAUGCCAUUUGACUGAGAUUCAACAAUUCUACAAGGAAGAAUGGGCAAAUAUUGCACAGUCAAGGUGUGCAAAGUUAUUAGAGACGUAUUCAAAGAGACUCAUGACUGGUUGUCUGGUUCAACCAACUCUGUUCAUUUAUCCAAAUAGGGUAUUUUGCAGAUUUAAUUUUAAUAUUUUUUUUGUAAGAAUUAUUUAAAAACAUUUUUACUUUGAUAUUCUGGAUUACUGUGUGUAAAUAGAGCAGAAAAAAAUAAUUUUAUGUGUUUUCAUUUCAGGCUGUAACAGCAUGCCCAAACCAGGACGCAUGUUAGUGUCCGAGUGCACCACCGUGCGCAAAUUAAGUUUGUCCCCCUGCACCAAACGCGAUCACAACACGCAGGUUGAAACAUCAAAACACACUCAGAACCAAUUAUUAUCUUAAUUUGGGGACAGGUCGAAAAGCAUUAAACAUUUAUGCCAAUUUAGCUACCUAGCUUGCAGUUGCUAGCUAAUUCGUCCUAUUUAGCUAGCUUGCUGUUGCUAGCUAAUUUGUCCUGGGAUAUAAACAUUGGGUUGUUAUUUUACCUGAAAUGCACAAGGUCCUCUCCUACAAUUAAUCCACACAUAAAACGGUCAACCAAGUCGUUUCUAGCCAUCUCUCCUCCUUCCUCUUUGGACUUUAUACGGCGAUUGGCAUCUAACUUUCAUAAUAAGGUGUAUUACCACGACCGACUGACCUCAGUUCAUCUUUCAAUGACCCACGUGGGUAUAACCAAUGAGGAGAUGGCACGUGGGUAAUGCUUCUUUAAACCAAUGAGGAGAUGGGAGAGGCAGGACCUGCACAAGUUCACUGUCACAAAUAGAACUGACUUGCAAGCAGAUGCUUGUUGGCGCACGUGAGCAGUGUCAGUGCAAUGAUUGAAUAACAUGUGUGUGUAAAUUUAUUUUGCAAUGCUCGCGCAUGCGACACGAGCGAUGUGGUCAGCAUGUAUGGCAACAAAGGGUGAACAUUUUGAAAGGGGGUGGUGACUUUCUAUACCCACUGUAUAUUCUGGGGCAAAUAGGAAUUUGUCAAUAAGGUCAUCUGAGUUCACACAAAGGUCAGGCAUAAUGUAAUCAAACAUUAACAGGAACUCAAACGGGUCAUUUUCCAGUUGGCAAGAAAUACCUCUUAUGCAGUAUUGUUGAUUCCAAGAUUCUUCUAGGUUGUGGGAUUCCAUGUAUCCGGGAUAAAACUAUUAGAUAGUCGACCUCUGAGAUACAAGAUUCAAAUCCUUCAGAUACUUGAUCUUCCUUGAACCCCUUUCUCCAUUGGGCUUAUUUAAAGUGUUGCCAACCACAUAUGGCCUGUGUUCUGGUGUGGUGCUGGGACAACUAUUAGGCCAGUGCAGUACUGUAUGUCUGGACAUGAGAUUAAAGUCACUGUGGCCAGAUUUGGACCUGGCUGUAAUUGAGGCUGUGACACAACCUUUAUACUUGACUGUCUGCCAGACCUGCUGCCAUUCACAGCCAGCUCCCAGAUAUCUCACCAGCCUCUCAUCUCUAUCCACUUCAAUAGAAACAAAUAAAAGAAAUGAACACAAAUUGGAAUUCUACACUGUUUAGGUAUAACAGCUGUAUUAGGGUCAGUAGGCCUUUAGUAUUGUCAUUUAGUAGGGGAUUAUUUUUGAUUCACUAGGUCUUUAGAUUGCUGUGUGUCCUGUGCUUAAAGUUAUGGUACGCGUUAUGGUUAGCAUUCUAAACCAAAGUCAUGAGACGGCAGUUUCAUAACUCCUAGAGUUAAUUGCAUCAUCUACCUCUCAACUCCAGUGGAUGCAGCAACUCUGAAAUAGACAAAUUCCUUUGAGAUGGAAAAGUGUUCCAACACCUAUCCACUUACUCUCUCAUUUCAAAGGUUGCCUUGACAACGGCCAAACCCCUUGACCCUCUCUGACAGCACAGAUUAUUCUGUAUAUCUAGUCAGACAGGUACAGUAGGUGACCUUCACCCUCAAAGGGAGAGGUGUCACACCUGAUAAUCUUAUAUGACGUGGCAUUGUGCUGGCAAAGCAUCUCUGCCAGUCAACAGGGAUGACUGUUGCUGUGGAGAAAUAGAAUCUAGGCAGUACUUUGCCAUCUAUUGUAGUCAAUAACAACAUGUCUGACUCUAUUUUCAGUUAUUUUUUCCACAUACAACACUGUCACCCCAGUUCACCCGAGUCUUGUCAGUGUACCACAGUUCAACCCGUUUGUUUGAUUGUCUCCGAUGUGACCACAGAUAAUGCAGUAGUGGCCAACUGUGCUCUUAGAACUACCCAUCCUAGAUCCGGUAUAUCUGUCAUCAGCAACGCUAAAUAGCAUAGGCAAAAAAUAUUACUAGAAAAUAUUAAUAUUCAUGAAAUCAUAAGUGAAAUAUAGCGAAACAAAGCUUAGCCUUUUGUUAAUCACCCUGUCGUCUCAGAUUUUGAAAUUAUGCUUUACAGCGAAAGCAAUACAAGCGUUUGUGUAAGUUUAUCGAUAGUCUAGCAUAGCAUUAUGUACACUUAGCAUCAGGAAGCUUGGUCACGAAAAUCAGAAAAGCAAUCAAAUUAACCGUUUACCUUUGAUGAUCUUCUGAUGUUUUCACUCACGAGACUCCCAGUUAGACAGCAAAUGUUCCUUUUGUUCCAUAAAGAUAUUUUUUAUAUCCAAAUACCUCCGUUAGUUUGGUGCGUUAUCCCCAGGAAUCCACCGGAAAUAGCGGUCACGACAUAGAAAAUAGAAGCCAUAGAAAAUCUGGUUGAUAUCUGGCAUUUUGUUGAUAUCCCUUUCAAUGGUCAAUAGGGAUGCAUAGGAACACAGAGCUUUCAAAAUAAGAGUCACUUCCUGAUUGGAUUUUUCUCAGACUUUCGCCUGCAAUAUCAGUUCUGUUAUACUCACAGACAAUAUUUUUACACUUUUGGAAACUUUAGAGUGUUUUCUAUCCUAAGCUGUCAAUUAUAUGCAUAUUCUAGCAUCUGGUCCUGAGAAAUAGACCGUUUACUUUGGGUAUGUUAUUUUUCCAAAAAUAAAAAUAGUACCCCCUAGCUUCAAGAGGUUAUUAAGUAGCAAUGGAAAGGAUUAAAUGUUCACUGUUAAUAUAAUAAUAUGGGUUAUUAUUAUAUUAACAGUGAACAUAUGGGUUAUUAUUAUAUUAACAGUGAACAUAUGGGUUAUUAUUAUAUUAACAGUGAACAUAUGGGUUAUUAUUAUAUUAACAGUGAACAUAUGGGUUAUUAUUAUAUUAACAGUGAACAUUUAAUAUUUUCCAUUGCUGUCAUUUAGCAGACACUUUCAUCCAAAGUGUGUGCAUUCAUUUUAAGUAUGGGUGGUCCCGGGAAUCAAACCCAAUAUCCUGGUGUUGCAAUCGCCGUGCUUUACCAACUGAGAAGCCUUUAGAUAAAGGUCUUUGUCUUAAACAUACAUACAGUGGGUUUCUAUAUGGAAGGAUCUGUUCAGGAGAGCAGCGCUACAGUACAUGAUGAAUACAAUGCUAGCAUUGAGCUACAUCCUCAGGUCAGUUUGGCUCACGUUCCAGACUGUAUCAACUGACGCUGUCUUUGUGAGCAAACAUCUGAAGGGAUGUAAUAGGAUAAUUCAUCCAAAUUGCAAAUUGCAAAAUGACGUGUUGGUUUUCUUGUAUGCAGUCUAUGGACAAGGUAUGACAGCAGAAAGCUAGUCAUGCUUUGGUUUAGCUUCCCUGGCACUGUUUCCAUGUGCGAAAAAUACUCAAAUCAGGACCAUGACGUGAAUGUGAUUUAUGCCACAAAUGCUAAAACGUUAACAUUUAGAAGCUGUGCCAGGGAAAUUAAACCAAAGCAUGAAUUGCUGUCAUACCUUUUACGUAGACUGCUUAUAGGGUAAGGAAACCAAUGUGUCAUUUAGUAAUCUGGGUGAACUAUACCAUUAAGACGUAAUGUCCCUUGGAUAUAGUUAUAGGAUUGUGGUGAGAUGCAUCACUGUAGUCUUUACACCCACAUGAGAGAAAAAGACAAUGUUGCAUGAGUAUGGAAGUCUAUAGUGAAACUGUGUAAAGGGAAGUUGAUGAAGCUCAUGAUUUGUAGCUAGCAUGACUUGUACUGUACCUUUAAAGGCCUGAGUUGACACGCAGGAUGCUAAAUUGGGCAUGACAAAUACGAGUGUGAUUAAACUCAGUCAUAGAACGACAGACUGCCAGUCUGUAAUUAAGUAUACUGCUUUUUGGCACGUUCCUAACUUCCUCUUGAAUUAGAAAUCAUUAUAGGCCCUUUCCCAUUUCAGCACAUUAGCAAUAUUUCUAUGUCUGCCUUCAUUAAGGAAAGUGGAGCAGUAAGCAGUGGAUGUAAGAUAUGUCAUUAAGCUGAUAUUAUCUCUUUCUCUCCUUCUCCUUUUCCCCU